rnacentral:rRNA from 1 species
AUUGAACGCUGGCGGCAGGCUUAACACAUGCAAGUCGAGCGGAGCGAGGGUGCUUGCACCUUAGCUUAGCGGCGGACGGGUGAGUAAUGCUUAGGAAUCUGCCUAUUAGUGGGGGAUAACAUUCCGAAAGGAAUGCUAAUACCGCAUACGCCCUACGGGGGAAAGCAGGGGAUCUUCGGACCUUGCGCUAAGAGAUGAGCCUAAGUCGGAUUAGCUAGUUGGUGGGGUACAGGCUUACCAAGGCGACGAUCUGUAGCGGGUCUGAGAGGAUGAUCCGCCACACUGGGACUGAGACACGGCCCAGACUCCUACGGGAGGCAGCAGUGGGGAAUAUUGGACAAUGGGCGGAAGCCUGAUCCAGCCAUGCCGCGUGUGUGAAGAAGGCCUUUUGGUUGUAAAGCACUUUAAGCGAGGAGGAGGCUACUUAGAUUAAUACUCUGGGAUAGUGGACGUUACUCGCAGAAUAAGCACCGGCUAACUCUGUGCCAGCCGCCGCGGUAA